CCCUAGGAAAGGCAAAAAAAAAAAAAAGCAGUCUGUUUUACUUUUUUCUUAAUUUUUUUUCCUGACUCAGGCUUUCCUCUCAGGAUUUUCGAAAAAUUCUCCCCAGAAAAAUUCACAGACCUUAAAAUAUUUGUAGACAGUGUAAGUUAAACAUUUCUGAACCUCCUUGAAGUCUAUCACGGGCUGUGUAAAUCCUCAGGUUAAAUAACGUCUGCCCUGGAGGAUCUGAUGUAGUUAAGAGAAAGCCUGGCCUUUAGAAGAGUUUUCCACAAAUGUACCAUUUUCAUCAGUUUUCCUACUGUGAGGGUGACAGCAGAACAAGAGAAGAUGCAGUCACAGGUCCCAGGAUGACUAGAAGGUACCAGGAGCUUGUGCUGUUGUGAUGGAGAACUUGGUGGACUACCGCCUGCUUGUCCUGGGGCGAGAAUGCUUGUCAACCUGCUUGAUCAAGCCCCUCCUGCAAUCCAUGAUGAGUGUCACCUGGCACCGUUGCUCAUGGUGCAGAGACUCCAGCCAGUGGAGGCCAAAAAUGUCUGCCUGAAUAAGCCAGGAGGAAGUCAAGGCGAGGCUGUUGUGCUUCGUGGGGAUCUGACGAGGAAGACGAGGACUGGGUGAGACUUUGUAAUUUUCCGCUGAUCCAAUUCAAAGUGUGAGUCUCAGUGGAAGCCAAGUGGUAACUCCACAGUUACUGAGGGGUUUCCAUGUGCACUUAUCUGCCUUCAGCUGAUGUGACCUGCCCAAGACUAUGGAAACCUCUCCCGGGCCCAAGCUGUGGGCGCCUCUCGGCAGCACUGCAGGCGACGACGUUGUCAGAAGAUGCUUCUGUCUUUGCUCAGAGCUCACAUUCCUGGCUGUUGAUCAAACUGAAACGGACAGUAUUAACAGCCUGAACUUAGCCAAACCCAGAUUGGAACUUGAACCCACGUGCUGGGACUCGAACCCAGCCUAAACCCAGAUUGGGACUUGAACCCAAGGUUUUCAAUUAGAAGCACUCACCCUGUGUCUGGACUCCCUGAGGUUCAGGGUCUUCAUGUCUCUGCACAGAAGGAAUUCAGCGAGAGACAAAGUGAUAGGCAAGAAAUAGACUUAUUAGGAUGGGAUGCUUG